CAGGGAUUGCCUCAGUAACGGCGAGUGAAGCGGCAACAGCUCAAAUUUGAAAUCUGGCUCCUUCGGGGUCCGAGUUGUAAUUUGCAGAGGAUGCGUCGGGUACGGGUCCCUACCGAGUUUCCUGGAACGGGACGCCAUAGAGGGUGAGAGCCCCGUCUGGUAGGAUACCCAGCCCCAUGUGACGCUCCCUCGACGAGUCGAGUAGUUUGGGAAUGCUGCUCUAACGGGAGGUAUACUCCUUCCAAAGCUAAAUACCGGCUGGAGACCGAUAGCGCACAAGUAGAGUGAUCGAAAGAUGAAAAGCACUUUGAAAAGAAGAGUCAAAUCAGCACGUGAAAUUGUUAAAAGGGAAGCACUCGCUACCAGACUUGGGUUUGGCGGUUCAACCGGGGCCACGCCCCGGGGCAUUCCGCCAGCUCAGGCCAGCAUCAGCUUUCCGUCGGGGGCACAAGACGUCGGGAAUGUGGCUCCCCCUCGGGGGAGUGUUAUAGCCCGGCGUGUCAUACCCUUCGGGGGGCUGAGGUACGCGCUUCUGCAAGGAUGCUGGCGUAAUGGUAGCUGGAGUGACCCGUCUUGAAACACGGACCAAGGAGUCAACCUUAUGUGCGAGUGCCCGGGCGUAAAACCCCAGCGCGGAAUGAAAGUGAACGUAGGUGAGAGCUUCGGCGCAUCACCGACCGAUCCUGAUGUCCUCGGACGGAUUUGAGUGAGAGCAUAUAGGGUUGGACCCGAAAGAAGAUGAACUAUGCGUGUGUAGGGUGAAGCCAGAGGAAACUCUGGUGGAGGCUCGCAGCGGUUCUGACGUGCAAAUCGAUCGUCAAACAUGCGCAUGGGGGCGAAAGACUAAUCGACUUAUU
rnacentral:rRNA from 1 species